AGGAGUUUUACUUGGUGGUAAUUACUUUCAGGUCUUUAUCUCUCCGGUAAAACAGUCAUGCAUGAAAUGAAUACUGUUAAUCAUGUCAUCUGUUUAAUUUGAUCUUGCUUUCGUUAAUGUCAUGUAUACUCGGGUGGGAGAGCCAUCAGAUUACAAAACAUAUCAUUGGAGUGGGUUCAAUUCAAAAAUAGAGUUCAUUUAUAUGAGAAUAUUGCUUUCAUUUGAAAUUUUGAGCCUGUGCAUGAGAGUGAUUUUACUGGUUGCCUUUUGUUAUGCAAAUAGAAAUAUUUCUUUUAUUGGAAUGUUUUCUGCCGAGCAAUUGAAUUAGAGCAUGUAUAACUAUUAGCAUAUGAAGAUAAAUCUGUAAAUAUUGAUCAGUUUAAAGAAUAAUUUUGUGAAAUAUUCUUUAAUAUGAUCACAGCAAUAACUAUCUUGAUGGUUCUCUUGCAACAAGGUAGAGGGAUGAGGAGUAUUAUGCUAUUGUUCUUUCAACAAAGAUGCUAGAGCCUUCAUGUUUGGGUGGAUUCUUUGUUUCAUCUACUGGCUUUUAUUUUAAGUGGCUUUCAAAAUGAAACUGAAGCUAUUCAGCCUGGUAGAUUUCAAUAUAUCCUUUGCUUGCACAUACAUGUAUUUUGUACGUAUUUAUUGUUCUCAAAGGCUGAAUUUUGGCCCAAAGCCUUGUUUAUUAUGAGAACUGCCUUUAGCAGUAGAAAGAAACAAGAUAAAUAUAUGCCAAUCUUUUAAUCUGCAAUUCUGAGACUAUUACAGUAUUUAUCAUAGCGUCAUACUCAUUUAAGUUUUUUCAUACUUGACCUACGCAUCAAUUGAUCACAACUUUUCCUAUAAAAAGCAUGCAUAUUUAAUGAAAACAUUCUACAGUGAAAGCUGUUCAGCACAAAAGAAAGCAAGCAUAAAGUAUUAAAAAAAAAGUCUCAUAAUGUAGUCAUGACUCAUUUGAUGAGUUUUGAAUACUAAGACUGACUGAUGAGACUUCAAAGUUAAUGCCCUUGUCUGUGUCAGACUCCAGAGCCCACAUGAACUUGUAUAUUAAGUCACCAGUCAUCUGGCUGGCUGGCUGCCACCAUGCGUCCGAGGUACGAGUAGAUUGUCUCAGCCAGAUCAGAAAGGUGUUAGGAACAGGAGCUAUUUUGGUAUUAGUCUUCAUUCAGCCCUCUGCACUUAUCCUUGAAGAGGUUUCUUCUACUUUAUAAAGCAAAGUAUAAUUUAGGUUGUUCCCUUUUAAAGUAUGUGGUGUGCAACUGUGUUUCCUUCUGAGUAGGUACCCUCUAAUGUGAGCAUUUAUUUAGUUACCAGCUUUAUAUGGCAGUGAGUACAGCAAAGACAUGUUCUUUAUUAUUUGUGAAUGUAUAUUCAGACAGAAGAGUUUUUGGGAGGUUUAAUUACAGCUGGUACAUAACAGUUGGUUUGAAGUUUUGCUGUUGACUAAAACAGGUAACUUGGUAUCUAUUUUAGUCAAGAGCAAGUCUUUUUUUCAUAUUCCAGGAGCUGUUUUUGAAGUUGUUUUCCUUUAGGCAGACUUGGAAAAUGGCAUUUUUGCAUUGUGACAGUUAAGCCUGGACAAGGAAGACUCAGGAUGUGAAGGCGUGUUAUUCUUGAGCUGUUCCAUAUGCCCUCAUUGCCCCAAGUUACCAACCAAAACUGUUUUAAAGAUGCUCUAAAUUGAUUUAUGGCUUCUGCCUUUUUUUAACAGAGGAUCAUGUUAAGUAAUUCAUUUGUGUUUUUAUAACCUUUGCAACAGCAUCCCAUGAAGGAGUAACUGAAAUCAAUGUAAGUAAUAAUGAAAUGGAGAUGGUAGAUAUCCUCAGCUGAAUCACAUGUUUACCAUAUCCAGAUGAGUGGAUUUCCAAGAGAGAAGAGGCUGAUGUUUUCUAUUCCAUGUAUUAGGUUAUUCCUAUUUGUACGCAACAUAAAGUAUGUCUGGAAAAAUGCUGUAAAAGUUAUCAUAUUUUUGGUGGUGGAUACAGGUAAUACCACCACCCACUGGAACUGAAAUGAUGCACACACAGCUAUUCAGCUAUUCUGCCUCCAGAAAGAGCUGUGUUGAUCUACGCAAGCAUCACAAGAAAACGUGACAGUAGUGAAACUAGAACUGGUGACCCUAUAAUUUAACUUUGCAAUAGCUUAAUAGCAAGGAAUAUGCUACUUUGUUAUUGCUUCAUUUUGUUACAACCUCAUUUUUCUUCUCUGUAAAGUAAGAAAAAUUGAAGCAACACUUUGUGUGAAUUACUCUCUAAAAAGUUGAAAUCCUUGUUGCUAUAAGCGCAUUUUAACUAUAACCAGUGUAUUGCUCUAGGAAAUUUAACACACUUUAGAUUAUUAUAUAUGAGAUUUUGUAUUCAAGCUUUGUCAGUGAGUUUCUUGACCGAAAAGUUCUUAAUUACUCUUUUGUUGGGAGAUGUAUGCAUAGCAUGUUUGUUAUGUGCCUCUGUGAACUGUACUCAUUUCUGAUGUGUUGCCCUGUAGUUAAAUCUCCAAGUCCUUUGUUAUGUGAAAAGGAAACUUUUCUUUCCCAACAGGAAUACAAUAUGUAUGUGUAUACACAGAUGUAUGGUAAAGAGACAAAAGUAUGUUGUGAAAAUCAAGAUCUCAAGUGUUUAAUUUAUGUAUGCAGGUAAACAUGUAAAAAUACAUAUAUAUUUUCUACCAGAUAAGUCUAGCAUAUGUUUGUGUAGAAAAACACUUUCAAUGAGAAUACCAGUAUUCUCAUAAUAAUCCAAUAGAAAUAUUCUUGGAAGAAUAAUGUUAGAAAUACCAGAUUUGGCUGCUGGCUGGAGAUGGGAUAUAUUCAGUAAACUGAGUGACUGUAAUAAACAGUGCUGCACUAGCUCUUCCUAUUUAAGAUAUUAUGUCCUUUUACUGCUAUGUAUAUAAGUGAAUUACUUAAACCCUUACCAAGUCUGAAGGGGAAAGAUGAUACUUAAGGUUAAUGCAUUUUUUUUUUGUAGCCUGUUAGCAAUGAAAGAGAUACUCCAGAAAAAGUCGUAAGGAUUUAAAGCAUUACCACAGUGUUUAUUUUGCAGGAUUUGUACUUACAUGCCUUACAGUUUUUAAGUCAAGUCGCUGCCAGUGAUAUAUGCAUAAAGGUUUAUAUUAGAAUAAGAAAAGUGACAUUGUGCCCUAAAGCUCCUUUCUGCUUUUCCUCUGUUUUUGGAGUCAACUCCAGUUAUUACUUUGCUGAUGAAAUGACUGUCUACUUAAAUGGUCGAGACAUUCAAUAGCCCAUCUAUAAAUGCUUAUUAUAACACUUCGAGAGUUCACAGGAAAUCAAUAGCCUGUUUUCUGUAUUUUGUUGAGUGAAGAUCAUUUCAUUCUUCAAAUCUGAAGACUAUUGGGCUGGGUGAAAAUGCAGGAUGAGUCCUCUCAGUGCAUCAGCUUGGGAAGGCCUUAUUGUUGUGACACUCUUCCUGCACGGAUGCAGCAGCACUGUUUAAUGGGGUCCAAAAUGUUCCUUGUAUGCAGACAGCUGUUGCUCCAGUUCAGAGACAUGUCUUCCCAUGCCCUGGGACUGGGCACAGGACAGCUGGUGGCAGGGAAUGUCUGCCAUGCCCUGCCUUCCCCUCCUGCGGGGCUCUUUGCCUAGCACAAGUUAUCCUGGGGGCCAACCAUGUGGAUUUAGAAACUGGAUGAAUGAAAUGUCUAGGUUUGGGCAGCUGUGUGUCAAGCAUUUGCAAUGUUAAGAGUAGAAUUAUGUUUUAUAGAGCAGGAAGUGAAAGUGGCUCUUCUUUGCAGUUCUCACAGUGGUAUGGUGAAUUAAAAGCAAAAUGGAUAUUAAUUUUUUUACACUUAAUCUCCUGUUGUGAUUAAUUUAAAUUGUUCUUAAAUAUAUUACCUGCAGUAUUAAGUGUGACUUGAUAGAUUAAAUGCAGAAUACAGCCAGCAAAUAGUAAUCCUGGGUGCUAUUGUCUGCAUAAUCCUGAUAAUGAGAUUAAUUUCAUGUUAUCUUUCAUGGAUGUGCUUUGGCCACCUGUAGACAUAAAUAUUUGCUGCAUCUUUCCAUGAAGCACCUGGAGCUUCCAACCCCAAUCCUCAAUUUGUAUAUAUGUAACUUUUAAACAUUAAUUGUCCGUUCCAUAACAGAUGUUAUUUGGGUUUGUGUCCCAUUGUGUAGCUGUUGCAUAUUUCUGUAGUAUAUUGGUUUAUUAAUUGAAACAAUAUUUAUACAUUGAUGAUGGUCCUAUGGCCAUCUACUUAUUUGGCUGCUUAUCUGUUGGGUAUUGUAGAAUAAUUUUACUAUAUCAUCCAUACUUUCCUGAAUGUGUGUAAUAGAAAAACCCCAAUUAAUGGCAAAGAAGGCUAUUAAAGUCUUUCUUUUUUUUUUUUUUUAAGAAAGCUUAAGAAAGUUGGUAGACUAAAGCAAAGCUUAUUCUACUUCCUGAUUAGGAAAUCAAUAAAAACAAUGCUGUAAGAAAGUGAUGCCAUGUGUGAGAAGACUUGUACAUGUUAUUAGUGCUGUUUAACUGGAGAGAAACAUGAAUACCUAGAUUUGCAGUGGUAUGCACAUUUUCACAAAUUUGUGAACAUUUGGCUCUUUCAUCUAUUUUGGGUCCUGUUAGAGUCCAUGGAUAUAAGUGGGUUUUUUUAGGGUCUGGUUUUGUAUAUAAUGUUACUGAAGGAGAGAUGUUAAUACAAUGUGGUGUGUUGGCCUAUAAUACAAAAGCACAAUAUGAUACAGUUUCUAUGCCAAAAUGUUUCCUGCCUGGAUAAUCUAGGCAGAAAAACGAUAGAGAGGGGAGAAACGGAGACAAUAAAGAUGAAUUAUCUUUUAUGUGACCACAAACUGAGGAGUUGCAAGGUUGACUGAACAGUCUGUGCUUUAGGAUUAUAAACCAUCACUGCAAAUGUCUUUACAAAGAGUGAAAAAUAUAAGAUCUGUGUAACUAUUCCUGUCUAUACAGUACAAACUUCCCAGGAUAAGGAUGAUAUCCUUCUGUCUCAAUGUCAUAAUUGUCAUUGGAUAUUUUGGGCAUUGCAGUAAUUUGGAAAUGAGUGUGCAGCUUUGUAUUUCUACUGUGACAUUACAACAGUAGUCUAGUUAGAAGAUGUAUGAGGGAUGUGGUAAACUAUAUCCCUUCCUCUUUCCAUUACUGUUACGUCAGCCCUACUGUAAUCCAUGGUUCUGUGCCAUGUGGUGUCCCCUGUUUUCCUUUACCAUAUUGUGGAGUGCAGAGGUUGCUAUUUUGGCCCCUAGCUCUCCAGGGAUUUGGUCAAGACUGUCAGGAGUUGUGCAAUUGCUGUAAAUUUUCUGUGAAACACAGGUACCAUGGAGGGUGCAGCAGAAGAGGACCUCCAAAUAUGAUGUUAAUAGCCCCCAGUGUUUUGCUGCUUCUUGUUUUUCUUCACCACAGUUCUCCUCUCCUUGCUGCCACCAUCUUUCUAAAUUUGUCUACUCAAUUUUCCCAUUUAAAUGUACUCUUCUUUUUAUCCCACUUUCUCCAAUCCAUCUUUCUACCUUUCAGUUUCUAUCUGUCAUUCAGGCUUGAGCUCUUUGUCAUCUUUGCAGCCACCUCCCCCUUUUUGGUAGGUGAAUAUCUGUGCUGCUUUCAGCUGUGGUAGUUGAAUUUCUUCCCAGUGGCUGGUAUGGGGUUGUGUUUUGAAUUUGUGUUUUGCUGAACACAGAGCUGAUAAUACGGAGAUGUUUUUGUUAUCACUGAGCAGGACUUACACAGAGCCAAGGCCUUUUUUGCUUUUUGUGCUGCCACGCUGGUGAGGGGGCUGGGAUGCAUGGGAGGGUGGGAGGAGACACAGCCAGGACAGGUGACCCCAACUGACCAAAGGGAUAUUCCAGACCAUGCGGCAUCAUGUUCAGUAUAGAAAGUGAGGGAAGAAGGAGGAAGGGUGGAUGUUUGGAGUGAUGGUGUUUGUCUUCCCAAGUCACUGUUACAUGUGAUGGGGCCCUGCUCUCCCAGGAGUUGGCUGACCAGCUGCCUGCCCAUGGGAAGCAGUGAAGUAAUUCCUUGGUUUGUUUUUCCUAUUUAACUGUCGUUAUCUCAACCCAUGAGUUUUCUAGCUUUUACCCUUCCUAUUCUCUCCUUGAUCCUGAUGGUCAGGAGAUUGAGCAAGUGGCUGCUGGCUGGAGUUAAACCACAACAAUAUCCAAAAAUAUCACUUAUGCAGAGGUGCUCAAGGACAGCACACAGGUGAAGAAUGUAAGUUCUCUUACCAAAAAUCCUUGAUUUUUUAAGUUACUGUGUAUUUAUUUGUUGGAGCAAGAUAUCCUUGACUCCUGCUUGGAAAGCUUAUUCUGACAAAUACAAAUUGUGCCCCUGACCUUUUCAAGUCUGACAUAUCUGCUUUUUUUCUCUCAGCCAGUUACCUCUUUACUGAAAGCAAGCAUCUCUGUUCAUCUUCCUGUCAUCUCUAGAUCAGGCCUUUCUCAAGUGAUUUAUGAGCUUUGCUGACCACUUUCUGCAAACAGGGCUCCUUUCUUGUCACGCCUUCAUGCAGGUACCUCGCACCAGCUGUGUUUCUGUAAGAGCUUGACCCAAGGAGCUGCUUCUCCUCCUCCUGCUCUUCAAAAGUGUCUCAGACAGUUGUGGCAUGUUACUGGCCUGAAUUUUGACAGCUCCACUGGUGCCUGCAGAGCUCCUAGCUGUGUGGGCACUUAACUGCCUUAAAGUCACAUUUAUUUUGCUCUUCCUCUUUUGCUGGCACUUGGCACAUUUGCCACACUGGGUGCCUAAAGGAUCCUGUCACAGGCUGUCCACUGGGAGGAGGUUUUUCAGACUGCCUUCAUUUAUUCCUCACAGGAAAGCAGCCGAGCAGAUUAUGCUCCUAUCCUGUACUAAAGUAUGCAGGAUUUGGGUUCUUCAUCUGUAGUGUGACUUGAUGGGAGCUAUGGUACGUGUAGAAAAACUGGGAUGCUUUUUUAAUAUCAACUUGUGAUUUUGAGCUCCCUAAAGAGACAAAGUUUUUACAAGUAUUUUCUCUUUCCUUAUGCUACAAAACAACUUAUACUUUUAUAUUUUAUUUCAGCAUGAAGUAGCGAAGCCUAAUUUUGCAACUCUGAAGCCUAAAUUUACAACAAAAGCAUGUCUAUAACUAACUUAAAACACAUCCAUUCUUAGAAAACAUUACAGAUACUAAAUCCAUCUGGUGUUGAAUUACCAUUGAUUUUUAUAACUACUCUUCUGGCUUUGUGGAAAGUAGUUCUGGAAGCAUUAGGAUCCUACACAGUGCUUAUUUUUUGGCUUUGUGUGCUUUUCACUAUAAUUAAUUGUGGAAUUUUCAGUGUGUAUCAAUACCUGAUUGGAGGGAGUAAAGAACAUGGAGCCUCCUCAGUGGUUCCCCGUGACAGGAAAGGAAGAAACAGGCACAAACAUAUGCCUGAAAUACAGGUAAUUCCAUUUAAAUGCAAGCAAAUGCUUUUAUACUCUUAGGAAGGUCAAAUGCUGUGCUUGACAUGACAAAUGUCACAAAUUACAAAUGACACAAGUUAGCCAAGAGGUGGUGAAGUCUUCACCCUUGGAGAUUUUCAGAACCCAACUGAGAUAUGGUCCUGGAAAACCUGUUCUGAGUGGUCCUGUUGUCAACAGGACUUGCACUAGAAAAGCUCUAGAGGUGCCUUCCAGCCUCAUCUGUUCUGUGAUUCUGUUACCAGAAGUCUCCAAACAGCAGACCCAAGUAGGCCUUGCAACUCUAGAAAAGUUGUUUUUUUAUAUGUUAAUUCUGCAAUCCAAAUAGUAUAACAUUUUAUAGCUGGGUAUACCCUAGGUAUGAGUGUACACAUAUAUAGGUAUGUAUAUACCUACCUAUUUCUGUCUCCAGUAUAAACAUGCUUGAAAACUAGGACAAACUGGAGAAUAUCAAAGAUGGAAAAGGGAGGAGUAGAAUGUUUAUAUAUGUAUACAUUUUAAAUAAUCUAGUGUCAUUUCAUACAGGCCACAGAGUCACACAGUUUUAUGCAGUCAUUGAAGUUUUUUUUUUCCCUUCCCCAUAUAUAUGCUACAUCUGUAUAGAAAAAAAAAAAAAGCUGGAUAAAAUUGCUUUAAAUAAAGCUUUAUUUUUAUUAGAUGAUUUCUCUUGGGCACUACUUAUACAUAAUUGCAUCUUUCUUCCAGGGCACAUUGAGUGUAAGUGGGCACAAAUCAUCCAGGAGGAGAUCUGGAGGAGAGAAAGCAGAGAGCAAAGGCUCUGGAUCAGAAGAGGGAGGUUCACCCUCAGCUGGACUCCUCUUUCUCAAAAAAGUAGCUCCAAAUUAAGCAGCAAACACACAAGAAUUGGCCUGAGUUUGUGUCUAUAUAGAGUACUCAAUACUUUGGAUUUUUUGAAAUACUUUUUGGAGUCCUACGUGUGCAUAAUUACAGCUUUGCUGGUAUUCAGACCUAUUUCUGCAGCCCACAGCUGUGUCUGGGUGUCUUAUGGUGUUCUUGAAAACUAAAAAGCUGGACAAGGCUGCUAAAAUUACAUGUAGUCUCUUGGCAUAUAGGUGAUCCUGGGGGGUAGUGUUGCUGGAAGCUGUCUGUGAGUAUCCUUUGUAGCAUGAAUUGGAUGUUUAGUGGGGAAAAGGAGACACUUGUGCAGUUCUUCAUCACGUCCCUUCAAAGCUGUGCAUCUUGCCUUAUAGUAUUAACACAUUUUCUUUCUCCUUUUCAACCCAUGUUAAAGUCAAUCUUCCCUUUCUUUAAAUUAUGACCAUUAUGUUGUUUGGGGUUGAAGAGAUUUUUUUUGUUAUAUCUUGGCUGAAAUAAGUGACAAAGCAUUCAGACUUGAGGUUAUAUAUAUGAAGUUGAAAAAAACAUUAUCUUUCUUCCCAUAAGCAUUUGGAUUUUUGUUUAAAUAAAUGGUAAUGCCAAGUUCUCUCUUCUGACUCUUUGUGAUCAAAUAUGGUGUGGGGUUUAGUUUUUCCUGCUUCUUCAUAGUCUUGAAAUAACUUCUUAGGAAUGUACUUGCAAAAAUAACAACAGUAAUAAUAAAAUCUGUUUUGAAGAUAAAACCAAACUCUGGUUCUGAGAGCUUGCUUAACUCCAUGGUUAACACACCAGCUUCAAUCACAGCUUCUGGAAAGUUUGGAGCUCUUUUUUGCUGUUGAAUUUUCAAAAAUUAAUCUGAUAAACUCCUUUAAUUGUUAUGAACUGUACCAUUCAUUUUAGUUUAGCAGUUAUGCCUUUUACACUUGAAUAGAUUACUUUCUUAGGUCAAUGCAGUUGUCUUUUGAAAAUCAUUUAGAAGUAUCCAGUGGUAGUGAAGUUGUCUUGUCAGGUAUUACAAACAUGCAGGAAGAAUGAAUGGGUUUGCACUGACAGCUCCAGUCUGCCUUCCCUGCUUUUAUGUACGUCCUUUUAAUCAUCCGUUCCUGUCUCUGUCCCCCAGCCCCUUUUCUUCCCAAAUCUGUAAUGCUCGUGUUUGCUGUGAUUUUCAGUUUCAAGGACUGUUAGGCCAUCUGAAUCAAGAAAAAAUCCUGUUCAUAUUUUAACGUGUGAAACUCGCUUUUCAUUUCCUUUUCAUGAUAUAUCUGGAAAUGUUCACAUGUAUGAUGUGUCAUUCUUCCGUAGAAGUGGGACCUGUUAUUGAAGCAGUCCUGCAAGUCAGAGGUUGGCUCAGCGCUGCCAGCAGUGUGACCAUUGCCUUCUUGCAUGGUUCUGCCCUUCCCGACCCCACAGGGAAGAGAUAAUGGAAUUGCCAGAAGUUUCUGUUCAGCUACUUGGAGCAUUUAUAUGGUGUUCCCUGAGGAAGAGUUUGCUUGGAGUUUACUGGGUUUUCUUUAGGAGCUUGGUAUCAAACCUUCAAAAUGGGGCCAGCAAUAGUGCCUUCAGCAUGUACCAGGGUGUGAAUUUCUUGCUCUUCCUCACAGCUGGAAAGGAGUUUUUGUUAAGUGUGAAGGUGUUGGAUGAGCUCUGUUUUUAGGAUGUUUCUUCCCAAAGCCUGCCAGUUUGAGAAUUCUGUCACACCAAGCCAGAGGUGGUGAAACAACAGACUUGCAGCAGGGGCUUUUAUGUAGCAGAGGUGUGACUUCUUGGCAUUGUUGCAAUGUUUGGUUUCUUUCAGCUGGAGGUAUCAAUCAAAACAUGACUCUGUACCUUGCACUACUGCAUCAGUGCCCUUGCUCUGCUAUGGAAAAAUCUGGAAGCUCUGAGUGUUUUUGUAAAGAGGAGAGAAACCCAGCUAUGGUGAUGCCUUUGGGGACUCCAUUUGAGUUUUGUCUUCAAAAUGAAAUUGUUAAUUGCUUAUUAUUACUUAUUUAGAAAAUAAGUAGCUAAGACUAAGAAGCAGGUAAAUGAGAUUAAUUUUUACUAGUUUAAUUCAAUUUUUACUGGUUUAUUUCAAAUUUUUACACUUGUGGGAGAAGUCAGGUGGCCCAGUUACUAAUGCAGAACUGAUUCAACCUCAAAAAAAGUAAUUGCAUUUUUCCUUCUCAAAGAGAAAAACCAUACUAAGUGUAAUUUUGUUUCAGUCCCUAUUGUAUCUACCAUGAUUUUAGCUUGGUUUUGAAUCCAGGGGGAUUUCAUUAUUUCACAUAAGCUGUCACCUGAGGUGAUUCGUACUUCUUUAAAUGUACUCUCCCUUGAAACUGAAAUCCCUAAAUAGUCGACCUAAGUUUUGAAUGCUUGUAUUGCCUUUGAUAUAGUUAGAUUAAAACCUUUAUUUCUGUACAGAUGUGGGGUUUGUCUGUAUAAUUUUUAAGUACAUGAAAACAGGGUUAGCAUUUAUCUCCCUUCUAAGUUGUCCUCUGCUCAGCUGGAAUCUUUAAUUUGCUUUCAGAGCCUUUUAAACCCCUGAAGUGUCCCAAUAUUUCUUGUCAAUGAAGGUCACUUACCUUGUGCAGGAAAUGCAAUUUCUGUCAAGUUAGUCUACUGAGAGCCUUGCGCCUUAAGGAGCCUUUGUGAUGAUCUUUCCAGACAAAGCUGCACUUAAACCACUUUUGUAAUUUCUCCAUAAGGUAAAAAUACUGCAAUCCUCUUGAAUCAGAAAUAUCUUUUUCUUCCUGUCUUAAACGCAUUAAUAUUUUAUAAUAAUAAUAAUAAUUAUUAUAAUAAUAAAAAUGGAGAUGUAAACAAAAGCAGUCAUCACCACAUACCAUAGCAGUGGAAUAAAAACUGACCAGUCCUUCCUACCCCUAUUUUAUUUCUUCCAAGGCCUUCAUGAGCAGGGGAAGCCCAUGUCUUGAAGAUUUUCCCAGUGUAGCAUGUCUGAGAUGCAGGCUUCUCUAUCUACCCAUGCUAUGAAGUCUGCCAUCCAUGUGCCUUAUCCUACUACUGAAGUACUCUGUUGUCACUUUCCUAGCCUGAAUGAAAGCAGCCUUGUCCCACUUACAUCAAUUCUGAAUAUUGCUUGAAAAAGCAUUUCCCAGAGCCUGUGGCUUUGAUCAUAUCAUCUGACUUUACAUCUUUUCUUGGUUCCUUCUUCUCUUGUGUACCGAGUAUUGAAACUCUUGGUAAGAUAUCCUAGCAUCCGUCAUCUUCCAUUUAUUACUAAAAUUUUUGAUUUCUUGUCUCUAUAAUGCCAUCCUCAGUCACCUCGUCAUUACUUUCAAACAGUAAUCUUUGUGCUUUGUUUUACGUCCUUUCCACCUGGGGAGAGCUAAUACUGAUUAAAUAAAUUCAGUGUGCUCCACUUUUCUUUUAAUUUAUCUAGUAUCAACAGGCAAUCUUGCAAAGUGGGUAUUAGUAACAUUUCAAUUAAGACCUAGAAAAAGAUCUUUUUAGAAGGGUCUGUUUGUGUUUGCAUUGCAUCUGCAGAAUCAUAUCUGCUGGGAAGAGUUUUCUGUACAUAUGAUAGGCAAAGGCUUGUAAUGCAACAGAAACUUGCUGUGGUGUCACUGAUUGCAGAGAAUAAAUUUAGUCUAGUGGCAUUUCUAGGUGAAUGGAUUUGUCUGCAAAGAGAAAUACCAUCAGUUACAAAAGCAAAAUGUCCUGGGAAGGAAGAUAAAGUUAACACAAGAUAAAGGAAAUCUUAAAGAAUAAUGAAACAAAAUACAAAUUGCUAUGGAACUAUUUGGUAUUGAAGGUAUUAAAGAAACUCAGUAUGUGUUUUCUGGAGCUUCCCAAAAUGAUUUGUGCAUGUCUGAUGGUUGUGGGAGCAAAGGGAGACAUGUCAUUUUGGAAGACUUGAGGGUUGCAUUGUGGCCUGGCAGAGGGGAUGCAACCUACCUUCAGGAGCCAGGAAUUGCAAUAAUUAUUGCACUUUUCUUCCACUAACUGAGUGCUUUUCUUUAUGUAUAAAACAGAAGCAACAUGGUCAAACCCAUGUCAUGGUUCCAAGCAUUAAUUAACUCUCUUUAAUACUGUUCUGGAAAACCAGUGGGGGUUUUAUUGUUGUCCUUUCAGGUUUCGUGGUGGGGUUUUUUAAAAGAUGCCUCAAAGUCUUAAUGUCAGUUUUAUUUACCAGAUUAUUCAAAACUAUGCUGCAUGCACUGGCUCUCAAUGGAGGCAAUUGGCAAUGCUACUAUGAGGUCACUCUGUUAACAAAAAGAGAACAACCAAAGGGAAAAAGAAAACCACUCACCACCAAAGAACCCACAACCAAACCUAUUUAUUGAGGCCUUUACCUCUCUUUCCAUUGUUCACAUAAAAACACCUGGAAGUGCAGAGCUAUUAAAAUCACUGAGGCACUGUUGAAAGAAAUCAAAAAAACUUCUGAACAUUUACUGCUAUUAGAUGUUUAGGAGAGAUUUGCAAACAUUGACUUUCUUAAGAAUUAAGGAAAUAUUAUUUGGUUUUGUUAUACUGAGAAUUACAAGCAUAAAGAAUGUAACAAUGUAUGAAUGUUACCCUUGGAGGUGCCAAGUGACUUGUUUGUAAAAUACCAUCACAGAGGUCCACUUGGUAACACCACACUUUCAUAAGUGAAAGUCACUGGUGAUAAAUUAAGGCAGAUAAGUUUUCCGAAAGUACUGGGUACUAGUUUAAAGGAGGGAACGAACAGAGUAAAAUUAAAGAAUUUCCUGGUUUAAGGAUUGAAGUAAGUACAGGAAACAAGAUGCACAUUGAAAUUCAAAUGGACUCUGAGCCUUUCUCUGUCUUAGAAAUAUGGUGGCCUAUUUCUUCUGGGUUUACCAGAGGGGCAACAUUUUGUUUUACCUUUACUGUAAAGGUAACAUGUGAGAGAAGUUCACAGUUGCCACCAAGGAUCACAGAAAAUGACCAAAACCACUGGCGCUGGGCAAUUCCCAGCUCUGGCCAGGACUGCAGUGGGGGAAGCUGGAACAAACAGGAGUCCCUGAAUGGCCCUUGCAGCCCCUCACCCUGGUACAGCUCACCUCCAGGGUGGAAUCCCCUUGUCUGGGCUAAGCCAAUCCUGUUGCCACAGUGCCAGUGCUGUCAGUGACGAGAAAUGGGCAGGUGUGGGUAUGGCUUCUCCAACUGGCUUGGGUGGUGGUGAUCCUUCUCCCUGCCAGCUGUGGAGGGGACAGGAUACAUGGCUUUUAUGUGGCUGCAGUUUGUUGGCUGCAUUGCUGUGCUUGGAAAGCUGUUUCUGAACUUAACUCCUGUACUGGUUACAAAUGGUUUCAUUUCCAGCAUAAAAUUUUACUUGUAGUUAGCAGCGUUUCCUAUACUGAUAAUGUCAAACUUGUUGCACUGCAGUGUGGUGUGGGGUUUUUUUCCCUCCAUAUGUACUCUUCUGUGGAGUGAAGCAUUUUUUAAAAAUGAAAUGUUUUUUCCAGCAUAGUUUGUAUAGGUUGUAUGCAUCUGUAUAGGCAGUUUACAGAGGAGUGGAAUCUUUGUUCCUCAUCAAAAUCUGUGUAUCCUCACAUACAUAUGUAUCUUUAUGCAUAUAAAGUUUUUAAAUCUGAAAGCAUUUGGCACGACAAUGGUGUGUUAUCACAAAGGCCAAAUGUUUUGUGCAAUUUGGCCAGUGCUUCCCACUGAAACUGAUAAGAAGCGUGGGAAUUACCUGUCAUGGUCAAUGCCUAUACAUUCCGUGGGUUGGGAAGAAACCUGGUCUCUACCACAGGAGGGCAAGUUCAGGAACAGGUUUUCAAUCUCAAUUGCUUUUUAAGGCAGUCGUGGUUCAUAUAUGUGUGAUAAUUGAGGAAAAGGCGUAGCCGGCAUCUUCACAGUUUCAGAUCAUCCCAUAACCAGCACAUGGGCAUUUUGCUGUGCCUUUCUGUGGUUCUGGGGGUUUUGGAAUGUGUUACAAAGCAGCAGCUGGAAGUGGGUUUGAAAGAUUAGCAGGGACAUGCUGCUGUUGGGGCUGGGGCCAUCUGGGGUUGAGCUGGUGUGUUCCUCAUGUGUUCCUCAUCUGCAUGAUGAGAGGUGGGUGUGCCAGUCCAUUGACUGAAAUCUCAUAAGGCUUGGGACUAGUUGCUAAGCAACUGCAAAACACUUCAAAACGGGAUUUUUUUCCUUACUCACAGACUGUUUUUUCAGCAGGUAGAGGAGAGGGGGAGUGAGGAGCACUGUGGGGUUGCAACGCAGAGGCCCCUCUCCUUCUCUCCACGUGACAGCCAAGGUGAAGGAGAAGGACCUGGUCUUGUAGUGUGCUCCCUUUGCAAAUUCACAGCUCUUCCACUCUGUUACAGCAGUUUUAUUUUUUUGCCAUGUACAUAAAUAUUGCUCUCUACAAGAGAAGACAGUCUAUUUUAAACAUUCCUGUGACAAGCAGAGAAAUUUUCCAGUAAAACUUUGGUGUUUUAAGGAAGACAGUUGUUCAGUGAAGGGACAUAACAUGAGCGGUCUGAUGAUGAAGAUCCAGAAGUGCUCUCCACCGUUAAAGGACAGGAACGCUCUCAGUGCAGUCAUCAUUGAAAAUAACUUUAAGUUUUACACAACCCCAUCAGUUCACACACUAUAAAAACAACCAGGUGUGUGAAUUGUUUUGCAGUUAGCAUCCUAUCUAUUAAGUCAUAAGUUCUACAGUUGGUGUUUCAAAUUAUUUCCUAUAAAUGAUGUCUUAUGUGUAAGGAUUAUAUUCAAGUGAUUGCAGCCUGAAAUUGGCUGGUGUCUCAUGCAUUUUUAUCACCAAAGUACAAUGUUCUUGUUGGCAGUAGCUUAGUUUUGGUAUUUGAUUUAUUUUCAAGCACCUUACUUUUACAAGUCAUGUAUUGUUUUUUGGCAGAAAGGCAGCUGCUUGGCAUUCAGAACCACUAGUUUGCAGUAACAGUUGUUGGUUCUGGUCCUUAUUGGUUUUUCUUUCCAAUUAAGAUGCAGCUGUUGUGACUUCUGGAGUGAGGGAGGAUUAUUUUAUCUAAUGAUGUAAAUGGAAAAAUCCUAAAUUAAGGAUCUGUCCUUCAAAACAGUUGGGAAAAGACCAGGUUUUAAGGCCUCAAUGUUUAGUGAGAAGUACCCUGGGCUGUGAUUUUUGUGACAAACUUCGUAAAAAGAUCUGGUGUUUCUUUUCUCAUGUAAAUGGAAGGGAAUUAAUGAUUCGGAGAAGAUUAUCCUAAAGGAUUUUUCACACUGCAUCUUUUACAACAUAAUAGGGGAAUGUACAAUUGCUAAUGCCUUUGAACUUGGUUUUUUUUGUGACAUUUGGAGCACUUGCUUUUGUACUUUUUAGGGAAUAAGAUAAGAUUAUGGUAUUUUUGACUUUUUUCUCAGGUAUGUGUUCAGUGCUGCAUGUGAAAAAUCCCUGAGCCUUUUUUUGUUAUAGCUAUAGCCUAAAAGCUGUAAUCAGCAGAAGAGGAAGCCACACACACAAAUCAUUGCAGUGUAUUGCAGACUGGACAAUUCUGUUAAACAAGCCAUUUAAAGAUAGGAAGUCAAGCAGACUGAAGAUGAACAAUGAUCUGAUCUUUAUGUGUAUUUUCACUUUGGUGGCUCAUUCAUGCAUAUUUGUUUUUUGGAAUGAUUGUAGUGCACCCAAAGUCCACCCAUACAGCAGAAAGUCACUCAUACCUAAGUGCAUCCACACUGGAAAUCACACGAGUUAAACUGUUGCACUGUAUAUACAUACAGAGAGAGAUUGUGUGUACGUACAUAUGUAUAUAUGCCACUACACACAUACAUACAGUAUAUUUUGAUAUAAAGGUUGUUCACCUUUAUAUCUUGCACAUCUUGCAGAUGUGAUUUUUUUGGAAAGCUGGAGGUGGAGUCGGAUGGGAAUCCCAUAGUACUUUCUCCUUCACUGUUGUUUCAUGGGGCAAAGGAAGACAAGGAGCAAUUGUGGAGUCUUAUAAGUCUUGGAAGGAUUUGCAUAGUGUCUUUGGACACUGUUUCUUCCUUUUCCUCCAGCUUUCUGAAAGGAAUAUAAAUUAUAUCAAGUUGUUUCAGUAGAUUAAUCAAAUAUGCUUAGGCAUUACCUCUCAACUGUAAAGAGAAUAAGAACUAGUCAGCCAGACCAAAAGUAGGAAAGUUGGAUAUUUGAUAUAUUCUCACACUGAUAAGGGGAGUAAAUAUUCUUAUUAAUUUGCAUAACAAAAGUGUAUCAAACUUGAUGAGUUAUUGAACUGAGAGAUCGACUUAUAAUGUCAGUGCUAUUGGCAAGUGAUAUUGUAAACCAAUACAUCAAGCUCUUGUUGACACAACCAUAAAUCAAUGACUUUUAUUUUUCCUCUUUAAUUUCAAUACCAGAGUCAGAAAUAAGUUUAUAUAAUCUCAAUAUUUUUUUAUAAACAGCAAGACUACAGGAAUGCCCCAAGUAGGUUGUUGCAGUAGUCUUAUGAUACAAAAAAUAUACAAUUAAAUACUGUCUCUUAAUAGAAAAUACCAAAAACAAGUCUUCAGGAUUUUAAUUCAAAUACUUGAUGCUGUUUGAAUAAAGACCAUUGCAUGAAAACUUGCUGGAUGGAUGUGGCUCCUUGUCCACAUGGGAUACUGUAGUGAUCCUUGUUGGUGAGGGUUGUCUGUAUAGAGAGCAUUUAUGGUGAUGGUUUUCUUUUGGAGAUACAAAGAAACUCAUGUGUUUAACAAAUUUGUGUGAAUGUAGGACAGAUACUUUGGUAUGUGUGGAUGUGAUGACCGUGAAGAUGAUGUCUUUUGAACACUAAACUUUACAUGAGAAUGUUUUUAACUUGAGUGGUCUCAGUUUGAAGACUGUCUGAUCAAGGAUGGCAGGUUGACUUUUAGGGCAUCCAGCGCCAUUUAACAUGCCCCAGGGUAUCAGAGAGAGCAUGAUGGGCAGGAUCCUGGUGUGUAAGAAGCUCUGAGGGUGAGAUGUUGCAGUGUUUUAAACAGUGUUGUGACAAGGAAUGAAUGUCUUCUGUUUGUGAGCAGUCUGCAAAAGUAAAACCAGAGGUGGGGUGUUAAAACUUUAUAUGCCUGGGAACUGAAACUACAGCCACUACAAGUCCUAAGAGUUGAUUGUUUUGCUGGUGGUGGUGAUUCUAUCUCUGUUAUUUAUUCCUGCAUGAUAAACAAAACAAAUUCUUCACAGUAUUUUAAAAAGGUGUAGGAAUAGUAAAAAUAAUCAUAAAUAGUUAAAAGAACCAAAUACAAAGGAGAAAGUCCAAUAAAACCUCAACCCCCAAAGAAGCAAGAGUUUUUAUAACUUGCUUGGUCACUAACUGGAUUAUAGUGGCUGCAUAAAAAGUGGUCCAUUUUAGUAGUACAUUAUGUUACUAUGGUAACAUUGACAUACUAAUUUAGAAACCCUUAAGGCUAGCUCUGAGAGCAUGAACAUUGCACUAGUAUACCAAAACAGGAAAAGACUUAUUGUGAAAGUAACUGCUAAAUGUUUAGGAUAAGCCCUUUAGAUACAGGUGGAGUUAUUUUUCUCCCCCAAAAUUUCUAUUAGGAUCCACACUUGUUUAUCCUGUUAAAAAUAUCUGAACCAGAUUAAUCUUAAUGGUUUUACAGUGUUUCUCAUUAAAUCCUUUUGUUUUCUUCUUGGAAUUGGACCUCGGGGUCCCGUUGUGAAGCCCAUGUUAGGUGCAGCUCCUUUGUCCCCCAGCUGCAGGGGGCUGAUCAUAAGGUACUUGCUUCAUUCUCCUGGCACAUGGACUGUAAAUUGCACUUUGAGUCCUGGGUGUUAACGGGUCCUGCAUCAUCUUACUUGUGUGUGGUCACAGAUUUUUUCCAGUGGCAGUGAAUUGUGUCACCUGAACCAGUGAGUUUACUACCAUUUAACUGCAUAUUUGAAAAAGAAUAGUUCUGUUGAAGUGCUGUGUAACUUGUACUAUGAUAUACAAUUUAUAAACAACCAAAAAAAGUUGCCAGAAGUAGGGAGCGUGCCUGUUACACUUCCUUUUGUAGCUAACUUACUAUGUGGUAGAGAAAUUUGUAGGCUCAGUUCCUUGAACCUGUUCUCAUAACACCCUCAAAGGCUGCCAUGAGCCCUUGUUUCUGGCUGAGGUUGGCAAAACCUGGAGUUACAUGGGAUUAUCAAGACCUGAACAUGCCUGGGGUGCUGCUAAACUAUGGUCUUUUUCAUUACAGGGGAUUUUUGGCAGCAAUUCUUCACUCACAGUAGAAAGUACCAUGUUUUUUCUGUUUCAUAUCAAUGCACACAACUGGAUUUCUCACUUCUUUACCUAACUCAGUUAAGUUAAGCAAAAUGAAUUUUAGCAUGGGAAAUAAGCAUUAUUUAUUAGAUCUCAUCAAACUGAUUCUGCAGGCUAACUAAAGAAGACUUUUGCCUGCAAAUAAGUGACAAAAAAAUUGAAAUAUCAAGAAAUAGAGUUAAAACAGAAUUGGCUAAACAGUAAUAUCCUUUACCAAGUCUGCUUUGUGGCAACUUGCUGUACUUCUUGUUUCAUGAUAAUUUCUUGAAUCCCUUUUUGGGUGUGGACGCAGGUGUUAAUCUUAAAUGAUACUAAAUUGCCAGAUCUGGAAAUCAACAGGCCAGAUUAGGUUGUAACACCACCUUGGGCAUAAUGAGGGUGUUCUAGAUUCUGAGCUUUUAUUAAAAAAAAAAAAAACAAGCAAAAGGCAUUUUGAGUCCUUCUGGUCACAAGGAUUACUGUUAAAUCUGUGAGCGGAAUGCAGUUGACAGAUUCUCAGGUAUCUCUGUGCUAUGGAGAUGGUUCAUGUGCCGCACCAGCACAGGAGGGUGUUGGCUCUGAAGCAGAGCAGCUUCAGCCUGUGUCUGCGGGCUGCUGUAUCUUCUCAUCUGAGCAUGCAGUGAGUGCUCCUCUGCUGCAGGGCUCCUCUGCACCUCAAGGAGAGAAACACCCCACACCAAAACAAGGUGGUGCUGCAUUCGUGCCAGGAUUUCAUACUUUCCCAACAUGAAUAAUGCUGUGUAGGUAUGAAUUUAUAAGGAGUAACCAGUGCUGUGAGCAGGGCAUGUCAUAUGUGUUUAACAAAGUAGUUAAAGUUAAGAUUUUUAAAGGAAAACUAAGCUAAUGGAAAUCAUGCAUGUUUCUCACAGUUACAAAUGUACUCGCAAUUGAGUUUGGCUACAAAUUAUGCUUUUCUUCCCUGUCUUCCCUACCUCCUUUUGAGGAGAUGACAAUAUUUUUAUCCUGGAUCACUUUUUUAUCUUGAUUUUGCUGCCCCUCUACAAGCAGUUGCACCAGUGUAACCCAAGGUUUUUUCAGAGGAGACAGAAAGGUCUUGCUGCCACACAAGAGGCAGGCAAAGCCAUGUUCCCAGUGAAGUGCAGAUCCCAGCAGCCUUAUUUAAUUUCAGAGAGUGCCUCCAGCCAUCCUCAUCACUGAGCCUGUUCUCUUGGUAGCCUUUUCCUGCCCAGACUCAGUCUUCAGCAUCCUGGAGAUGUACUGCUGGGCCAAAAUGGUCUCAUUUUAGGUCAGAGAGGUAACUUACCGGUGCUGGAAUGGUACCUACAGAAACUGGUCUCAGCCUGGGAUGGGCUCCUGACCAGAUCUCAGGGUGAUGUUGGGGCACUCAUCCAUGGGACCCUUCCAAGGACACUGGUGCUGGAUGUAGCAUGGAGAGGAGCACUGGUGGAGAUGGAGUGGGUGGGAACCCAGCCUCUUCUCAUCAGUAUGGGUGAAAGGUAGGUCAUAUCUGAAGGCUGAGUUUGCAUGCUGGGUGGAGAGUGCAAACUGGAGCUGCUGAGACCACAGCUGUGUGUUCCAGCCUGGCUCUGCUCCCCCUUCCCCUGCAGCCUCCUGGCCCAGCCUGAGGCCAUGUCUUGGGGGAGCGCGUGGCGGCUCGUGCUGCUGAGUUAUCCCAGCUGUGCUUCAGCUGCUCCCUUUCCCCCGCAAGAGUAAAUAAAUAUUUAGAGUUUGGAUUACAUUAUCAAGCAAGAACAAUUUCCUUUUUUUCAUGUGCUUUUUUUCAUGUGCUUUGCUCCUUAGAGCUCACUAGCAGCAGCAAUGACAUUGGGGAAUUAUCUAGAGACAAAAAAAAUUGUAAGUCUGUCUGGAUUUACUUACUAAAAAUACAUUUUGACAACAGUCAUUUAGUUUAAGAAUUUGUGUCCUGUCUGAGCACCCUGUUUAGCUUGUCCAGUUCUGUAUCCCUUUGCUACUGAAUGUUUUUUCUGGACAUCUGAGAGGCUUUUCUCAUCUCCAGUUGCUAGAGAAUCAGUAUCCUAUAGUUUUUCAAGCUUGAAAUACAUUAGGGUGAUUUUUUUAAUAACCAUAAUCUAACUGAUUGCAGAGGGCUUUGUGGGGGGUGCUGUGGUGGUUUCCUUCUUUUUUUCUUUUAUUAUGUUGAGUCAUUUGGUUUGGUUCGGGGAUUUUUGUUUGGGCUGUGGUUUUGGGUUUUGGAGGGUUAGUUAUUUUAUUUGUUUGUCUUAUUUUGUUUUCUCUGAGUGUACUAUUUGCCUGCUUGCCAGAUGAGGAAAAAAUGCAGGGAGGCAAAACUGAAUCCUUCCAACAGCAGCAGCCACCCGCUGCCAUGCUGCGGUACAGAAUGAGAAAGCAGAGGCUGUUUAGUUUCUUUCCAUGCCCUAAAUCCAAACACCCACUUCCAGCAUCCUGAUGCAGGGUGUUUGUGGGCCAGUUUGUGGACUGCCAGUACAAGUCAGCCCUGUCCUUUCCUCAUUCCUUCACCAGGAAGGAAGAUGUGGGUGCAUCACCACCCAGCUCUUGGGGCUGUCCCUUCCCACAAAGGUGGGGUGCUCUUACCCACAGUGCCUGUGCCAGUGUCCUGUUUGACACUUAAGUUUUGUGCUACUGCAGUACAGUCUGGUUGGAUUUAUAGGAGAGUGUUUUAGACUUCCAAGAACAUUCUAUGGAUUUUUGUUUUGUUGUAUGCUCUUUUUCAAAAGCUGCAUGCUUUGUCCUCAUGCCAGGAUUAUUUUUGUUUGGUUUAUCCUACCUUCCCUAAAUACCUUAGAAGUUGUUACUUCUUUGUGCACGCAACAAUGCUUCCCAUCAGGAAAGAGAUGGCUUGCAGGGCUAGCCAUUCAAUUUUUGUUCCUAUUUCCAAGCUUUUAUUUGCCUAUACAUUAAUAUUUGCCAUGCCUGAUGAGGCUGGGCUUUGCUCUUGGUGUCAGUGACACAAGUUGCACGUUUUCUCACAGUCUAGCAAAGGGAUAGACAACAGAACUGUUGUCACAACUGGAAUUAACACCAUAUGGUCCCUACAUCACCUCUUUUCUAUAUUUGUCUGCUGCAGAAAAAUUAUUGAAAACAGUCGUCCAUUUCCAAACUCAAGUCUUCAAACUGUUUCUUUUUCUUCCUUAGCUUCCUGCAUUUUGUUUGCAGAGGCAUCGUUGUUCUUAGACUAGCAAAUAAAAAAACUCCUCAGGUGCUAAAAAUAACCUAGCUGUAACUCUAUAUAAAUAAUUAUUUUCUGCAAUUUCUUAUUUUUAAGCAGCAAUGUUUUUUAGUAUUCCCAGUAGGUGGGCAUCUCUGUCAUGUCUGGCUUUGUCUAAUACAGAAAUAUAAUCUCUGAUCCAUGGGUCUGUUACUGAUGUCUUCUCCUCAGUUUGCAGCUUCCCAUUGUUUUAUUAAAGAAGUCAGUCUAAGCUUAUAUAACUUUAAUUCUGGGUAGUCAGGGUUUUUUCCUUCAAAAUAGUUUCUAUUCCAUUUCUGGCAGUAUUUUAGGAAUUCCAGUCAAAUUACUUCAGCAAAAUAAUCUGAUGUGUAGCAUGAUAAAACAGGAUUUAUCUGUGCAUUUCUUCAGAAACUUUGUCUGCUAUGUCUCUCCAAAAGGCUUCAUUUUUGUCCUUUUUAAACUAAACUGAUCAUAAGAAGAGGAUUCAGAUGCUGUAUGAAUGACAUUCAAAUUAUGAAGAGCUGAAAAUACAUGUCUGGACAAAUAUUUGAAGUUCAAAAGAACCUAAAGAGGACAGAAACAUAAAACAAAAUGCAAAUCUGCAAUUAACUUUACAGAAGUGUAUCCCAAAUGAAACUUGCAUGUUGUGGAGAGACUUCAAAGAGGGUAAUGCCAUAAAAUACUUGGGAAUAAUACCAGGAGGGGCCUGAAAUACAGUGAGAGGGAGCCUCACAAUGGUUGGUCAUAUAAAGAUGCCCAACUGAAGUGGGGAGUAGUGGCUCUGAAGGUUUGAUUCUCAUCCCACUGAAACUGGAUCCCUGGUGAUGUUGGUUGGCAUUGCAUCAAACUCCUUUUCUCCUGUGUGGACACCUCAUCUAGGCAGUCAAUUGUAGAUGCUUUAUACCUUGAGGGAUAUUGUCAACAAUAUUUGAAGUAUUUCAGGAAAGAAAAGCACAAAUGUGAGAAAUAAAAUUGAAGUACAAAAGAAACUUUCAAUAUAGGUGAUGUAGCAAAAAUCAGGAAUGAACAGAGAAAAAUGUAAAAGUACUCAUUUUGUAGGUGUGUAUAUCCAGAGAAUGGUCUGCUACAGAAACUGGGAAAAGGCUCUAGCAGAUGUGGUUUCUAGUUCUAGAUCUUACAAGCCAUAAGCUAAGAGAUGGUAGAGAAUAAUCUUCAAUAGGUAGGACUGGAGAAAAAAACAGUCCCUUUUCCUAAGGUCUAUAAUUCCUAAUUACUUAUUAGUCUUUUAGAUGUGCCUGUCUCCGAUUCUCCUGCAGAUCUCCCACCAGUGGAAAAAAAAAGAAAAUCAUACCCUGUGAAUGAACUUUGCUGUUUCUCUAUAAACCUAUUAACUAAAUUAGGCAAUAUGAACUUUACUUAUGACAGAUCUGCUUUCUAUUGUCAUAAUGCAGAGAUGAUAGUGACUUUUCUUCCCUUUAUGAUUUCAUUCUCAACUCUUUCAUGUAAUGUAUCUCCAUCUACAUAAAGUGUGGGGGUUUCUUUCCCCCAAGUUGGAUCUAUUCUGGCACAUCUUCUUGUUCUAUGCUUUAAAACUGAGAAUCAAAUAACCUUUUCAGUUGGAAAGGGGAUACAGUGUCACCAAGUUCAACCCUUAACCCAGUAUUGCCAAUGCCACCAUUAAAUCAAGUCCCUAAGCACCACAUCUCCACAUAUUUUACAUAACUCCACUCAACCCUUUCCGUGGGUAGCCUGUUCCAGUGUUUUCCAUGAAAAUUUUUUUCCUAGUGUCCAAUCUCAACCUUCCAUGGAACAACUUGAGGACAUUUGCUCUUGUCCUAUUGCUUGUUACUUGGGAGAAAAGGCUGACCCCACCUCACUAUAAGAUCCUUUUAGGUGGUUGUAGAGAGUGAUAAGGUCUCCCCUGAGCCUCCUUUUCUCCAGGAUGAACAGCCCCAUCUGCUCCUCAUAAUGCUUGUGCUCCACACCCUUCACCAGCUCCUUUGCCCUUCUCUGGACACACUCCAACAUCUCAGCGUCUUUCUUGUAGUGAAGGGCCCCAAACUAGACGCAGGAUUCAAGAUUCAGCCUCACUAGUGCCAAGUACAGGAGAUCACUGUUCUAGUCUUGCUGGCCACACUAUUUAAUCCUGUGGGUAAAACAUCAGUAACCCAUGCAUUUAUCCAAAACUCAUUAAAACAAUGUUUCUCCUCCUACUAUACUCUGUCCAUUUUGGUUUUCCUCUUUGGGAGUCUUUUGCAGUGCUCAGUGACAAGCUUGGAUGCUUUAUUUGCUUAGUGACUAUUCAGUAGGUGUUGCUUCUUUGGUUGAUCCCUCUGUUAAUCUUUGUCUAAGCCUAUAGCCAGUGGACAAAGUUCCUUCCUGAUUACCUUCCUUUGGACUGCCCAUGCUGAUUGUGCUUGAGGAUAUCCACGGGGUGGGAGUGUAUUGCAGUUUUGAACCAGUAGAAUAUGAGUUAGGGGCAAGCUGAAAUAUCUCAUAUUGCUGUCCAUUAAGCUUUUCCCCUUUGGAUUCAUGUGUAGUUAAACACCAGAGUUGUUCAGGAACCAUUCUUCUGUAUAAACAGUUGUGUUUUACCAAGUCUAUAUUUUUUUUUUUUUAAGAACUACAGGCGAAUAAACACGAAUGUUAAGCCAAACAACUAGAAAGCAGUUUGAGUAGGUGUUGUUACAAAGGUGCAGUUGCAGCUUUGCCCUACCUCCUGCUCGAACCCUCCAGCGAAUAGUAGAGCCCCAAGGGAAGCUUUGGGCUCUCUCCCUUUCACCUUCACUACCACAGGACCUGGCUACAUUUCCCACCUUCCUGCAGCAAGCAGCUACUUCCUCAAGGAGUUCAUAUUCUUCUUUUGAAUGUGGUGGGGUUGGCUCAUUUACAGCAAGGUGGGUACUCUGCUGGUUUGGCAGCCUCGGCGCCCGAGGUGCCGCAUUUAUCAUCAGUGGGCUCUGGCCUUGGCACCAGCUCUCCCCCAGCAUUUGUCAGCACUGAGUCGGGGUGCUGGCACGGCAGCCAGCAGCCUCCAGCAGAGAUAAUUCUUAUCAUGUGUGCUGCUGGCUCAGCUGCGCUUUGCCUCACAUGGUGACAAUUCCUGCCUGCCAUCGGUCCCCCCUUUGGAUCCCAGUCAUGCAGGCGGCAAACACGACCAAAGGAUGUGUGUCCAUGCAGCUUUAGUGUUUGUGCCUUCAGUCUCCAUCAGCAAACUUUGGGGAAGUGAAUUCUUCUUCCCAGUCACUUUGCCCCUCUCCUAGCAUAUUUAGUAUUCAAUAUCUCCUGUGCUGACCUUGUUCUUUAAAUUGCAUUGAGACUUGUCUUGUUCGAGACACAGGUCAACAGGAGAACAGUCAAGUGUGGAAAAACAUGCCGGUGCUGUUCACUGGGGUCACAGCAGCACAAGUGACCUAAAUUUCAAAUGCACCAUACUCAGUAGCUGAUCCAGCAUCCUCAGGCUGCAGCCUGUCUGUCUGCUGCAGUUGCAGACCAAGAAGUGAUUAUUUUGUUCAGGAGCAAAUUUCUACCAAUUUACUAAAAUUUGGAAUUUGGAAAUCUGGUGCAAAAUUGAAGGGAAAAGAGAAAGAAAUGCAGAAAAACACAAGUUGUAAUUGAGUGAAACACAACCUUUGGUCAUACAGUGGGGUUUGUUUUGGCAGUUCAAUUUCUCAAUUUUCUAGAACAGGCAUGAAAUCGCUAUAUUUAUGUAUAUAAGGAUUAAUAAUAUCUUACAAAAGCAACACAUUAGCUUUUUUUUGCGUGGGAGGAGAAACCAAGAGCUGCCUGAAGGCGAAACAUUUCUAAUUCCCUUUUUUAAUUUCUUUUUGGUUUAAUUUUUUUGAGAGAGCUCCUUUUUCAUUGUGUGCACUGCUGUUGCCCACACAGGUGCUGGAGGAGAGCAUCUGUGCAGUCUGCAUAAAUUGAUUCGGAGGGUGGCCAGCCGUGCUUGGUGCUUCCAUCAGGUCACGGCUGCCACGGUUUGCCACAGUGUUUUAUGCGUGCAUGAGCACGGGCAAACACAUCCAAGGUGUGGGAGCGCGGGUUUGAGGAGUGCUUGGCAUCAUCCCCCGCAUAUGCCGGCUGUGAUGCCUGCUCACAAAAAAACAUGGAACAGAAAAAGCCAGGGAGGUUUUCCUCUCUGAGGUGAAGCUUGUGGGAGCACGCCUUGCGUUGCUUUUGCUAUUAAAAGCAGAUACAUUUUUGUUGGUUUGCUUCUAGGCCACUAGAUUCCCCUGACUUCUUUCCUGACCUCCAGUGAUGGCACGAGUAUCACAGGAAGGGAAUCCUGUCAUUCCCUCUUGGACAAGGGACAAACCCUGGGUCAGUGGUGAUGACCCAGGAGUACUUUCUGCAACUAAUGUGAAAAAUAUGGGGGUUUUGGUAGGGGUUUUGAACACAACAGGUGAUGGGGUUUGGGGUGGAUCCCCUCCCAACCCUUUUUUUCUUUAAUCAUGAGAAGUUUCUUAGUCAUUGUGCGGGUUGAACCAUCCAGAGGAAAACAGCAGUGUUCCUGUAGGGGCUUGCAAGAAUUUAUACUGGGGUUUUUGCUGACACCUAUUUUUAUAUCAGAGAUGGCAGAAACAUACUGACAUAUCUAGUCUGUUUGUGAAUAUAUUUCAUUUCCAUAUGCAUCCAGCCUUGCAGUGUGUUUAAGUUGGGUUACUAGUUUUAGCUCAUCUGUGCUUGGAGCUAAUCCAGAAAAUGUCUUGAAAGAGGUUUUGUGGGGGGGAGAAGGAGAUUUGAUUUGCAUUAUGAGAAAAAUAUGAAGAGUUUUCACAAGAUAUGAUGGCUACAUUUGAUAUCCUAUAGUUUUUGUUAGUCUAGAAGUGAUUUUUUUUCUCCUCUCUCUGAAUCUGAGUGAUCUGGGGGGAUGGUGAUCAUCUAUUCUUCUUUUUCUUCUUCAGUAUUUUAAUCUAGGAGCUAAAUAAGUUCUUUAGUGAAUAAGUUCAUUCUCUGACAGUAUUUCUGACAUUUUCCACUUACUCUUAUCUCCUCCAUCCAUAAGGUAGAUUCUGGUAGAGGUAGAUAUACUCUUCAUAUAAUAUUUUGCAUUAUAAAGAAUAACAUUUUGCUUAAAAUUUUCAUCCUUCUGUGCAGGAGAUGGAGAAGUAUGCUGGGCAGGAAACCAGUGAUUUUUCUGGCAUUCCGAAGAAAAUAUAUAAAUAAAUACUGUAAACACACACCUACAUAUAUAGAAGCAAUGUAAAAAAAGUAUGUAUUUCCAAUUAGUGUGUGCAGAGAAGGGGAAUGGAACUGAUGAAGGGUCUGGAGCCACAAUGUGAUGAGGAAUGGCUGAGGGAGCUGGGGUUAUUCAGCCUGGAGAAAAGGAGGCUUAAGGGAAGACUUAAUUGCUUUCUACAAUUAACAUGAAUGGAGCUUGUGAUGAGCUGUGGGUCAGUCUCUUCUUCCAGGUAACAAGACAAGAAGAAACAGCCCCAAGUUGCCCCCCUGAGGAUUUAGAUUGGAUAUUGGGAAAAUUUGUUCACUGAAAGGGUGAUCAAGCAUUGGAACAGGCUGCCCAUCCUGAUGGUGGAAUCACCAUUCCUGGUAGUGUGGCACAUGGAGAUAUGGCUUAGUGAUAAAUGUGGUGGUGCUGGCUUAAAGGUUGGCUCAAUUAUCUUAGAGGCCUUUUCUAACCUUAAUGAUUCUGUAAUCCUAAUUAGCUCUUCAGGUUUUAAGCUUUCUCCUGCAACACUGGUAUUUAUGGUAACAGUUGACAUUUCAGUUAUUUGUUUUCUACUGCUGAUGAAUGAAAUAACUGAAUUCCAGUGGGGGGAAAAAAGCAGUUUUGUAAGGAUUAGUAAGGUAAUGUAAAAAAAAAAAAAUCAUGAUCUAGUAUAGAAGUUUUCACUAUCAGCAUGGUAUAUAUUUAUCUUUUCAGUGCAUGCAUGACAUCACAUGAAAAAGGUGUAAUGUUGAUAGAAUGUGGUACUUCACUGUGAAAAUGCAGCACUUUCAGAUUUAUUUAGAAUUUUGUGUGGUUUUUACUCCAAGUUAUUUUUUUAUGUAUUUCAAGAGAAAUGCAUGUAUGUAUGCAUGUAGGUCUUAUGUAUUUACUGACAUAAAUUUCUUCAGAAAGAGCAGUAGUUCACUUUGUGAACUGUGAAAAUUAGGUAGAUAUUCAUACUGGUUAAAUUUUAUGUUCUGCAACUGAGGAGAAAACAAAAAAGAUUUACCCAAAGAUUGUGCCCCAAAAUCAGAAUACUCUAUGUUUGUUCUGAAGUUCUGGAGCAAUAACAAGAAACUAAGAGAAACUAAGAAGAAUGAAUAUGCUGUUCUUUAUUUUAAAUACUGCCCCAAAUGGUGGUUUUGACAGAUAUUUCUUGUUGACUCUUGCAUCCCAUACAUUUUACAAGAUAAAGCUUAAAAACCUGAUUUUUUGAUGUACCUACUCCUUCCUGUUUUAUUUUAUUCUUUUGCUUUUAUCCAUAUAAUUUAAUCUGGAACUCAUAAUGAAAUUUGAGCUUUCAAAACAGUUCACAAAAUAAGCAAUUUAAUGCAUGGUUUGUCACUUUUGCUUUCAUAACAGCUGUAAGAUAAAUAAAAUAAUGAGAUAUUUACAGCACAAGGUCAUGCAGUUUUUGUGAUAGCAGGUUUUCAUAUAAGAUUACAGCUAAAAAAGGGGAAGUGCUGGGUUACAUAACUCACUAAAAUUUGACACUUAGAAUUUGUGUUAUAACAGCACUUCAUAGGCUAUAGAUGGGGCUGUUUCAAGUUCUGUUGUAAAUCUGACUUUACAAGCCUUUAAUGUUCUGUAGGCUAAUAAAAAUCAUUCUAGGAUUGAACGUGUGAAAUAAAAAAAAAAGGUGUUUUUAAUAUAUUUUAAUGCUCAGGGUAUUUUGUCAUCUUUGUUUUUCACCAAGAUUGCAUUGCUCUUGGAUUUUUGAAUAAAUCUUAAAUCUUACUUUCAUGUCUGAGAAAGGAGGGGCAAGAAAGAAAAGGAAAAAAAUAACAAGGCAUCCCAAAAAUAGAAGUCUUGCAUUUGCAAAGUAAAGUUUAAGGUAUCAAUGUGAGCUUUUGGCACUGGAGAAAAGGGCAUAAAUAUUGAGCAUGAAAUAUAGUGUAAUAAUAAGUGAUAGCAUUUUCACAUGGUUGAAGUAUAAGCCUUCCAGGAGCUACAGAGGAUAAGCUGUAAGCCCCAGAAAGUCAGCUUUUCUGGAAGACUACCCCUGUGCACUGCGCAUCUCUCCUUGUUUGAAACAUCUGGGGUUCUAAGCAGGAGAGCAAAUUGUCUGGCCUGAAAUUUUGAGGGUUUAUGUAACUUUUGCAUGGUAUUUUUGAAGGAUUCACCUGCUUGGCAAAUACUAUGAAAAUGCCAACAGUUAGGAAGUGUGAUUAAGAAUAUCCAUCUUGAUUCCACAUAAGCAGCAGUGGCUCACAGGAGGUGUUAGCCCUCAGCCAAACGUGCUGCACUUUGCCAUUUAGGCAGCCUUGGUGCAAGGCAGUGCAGGGCUGCCGUAACAACCUGCCCCAGAAACUUCCCUCCCUUCCUUUGGUGGUAGUGAUGUAAGAACAGUGAAAACUUCAGGUCAGGAAUACUGUACUAGCAUUUCCCUCAGUCCCCAUGCUACUUUGUCAUUUAUGCUAGUUGUAUUUGGUAUUGGAGUGGCUGUUUCUGGCUGCCUUGGCUAAUCUGGAAGGAGGGGAUUGUCACAUGCAAAGGUGACAACAGCCCGACUAUGACCUGCAAGGUUUUCAAUGGCCUCAUCUAAGGGAAGGAAAUCCAUGCAAGAGCAUAACCCUAAGGCCAGGAGGGGUCUGGGAGCAAACACCUAUAAAUUUCUCUCAUCCCUACUCCUUUUCCUGUGUCCAUGGGCUUCAAGUCAUUCGUUUCCUCAGUGAGUAUGGUAAGUUUUCAUCAGUGUUUGGUGACCAUGGCAUGCUACCCUUCUUCACCAUGUUGUGGUGUCCCAAGUAUCUCUGGCAUUGCUGUUCCAGCCGGUUUCCAUGCACAGGACAUGUUGCAUUUUGUUACUGUUAGGUGAAGGAGAAAGAACUGGGGAAGCUGUUGAGUCUGCCCACCACAUAAAGCACGGGGACACAAGGGAGCCCCAGCAGUCACAAAACCUGCAGCACACAGUGUAUGCUCUGGACACAAGCACACUCUGUUUUUGUCUGUAAUUCAGCCACUGGGAGGGAUCCCAUGGGCUGGGCUGUGCUCUUUUGGGCUGGCAGAGAUAACCAGGCUUGCAUUGCACAGGUGAACAAGAGACCUGCCAGGGAUAAAAGGGGAAAUCGGCGUAGGAUAAAAGAAGCUCCAAAAGAUAGUGUGUCCUGUCACUUUGGUCCCUGGUGAGGUGGCCAGCUGCCAGCUCCUCCCAGACAGCUUCAACAUGAGCUUAAAUAAAGUUUAAGACUUCUGGCUGUUUAUCUAAUAUUGUUCAUUGUUCUGUACAGACAAUUGCAUAAAUUAAGGAUUCAUAUAUGGGGGUAAAUAAGUUUGUUUUUUCAGAUUUUUAUAUAUUGCCUUCAUUCUGCAUAGAUAGGAAGCUAUGGUCCACAGCUUUCCUCACAGUUAGGCAAGAAAGUAACUUCUCUUAAUGUUAAACACUCUUGCUUUGGGAUAGAGAGGGGGAGAUUGAAAAUUUAGAGGAGUUGUGAAACUGUCCCCCUCAGAUAUACUCUGUGGUAAAAAAACAAAGGCUUUUUAUUAGUAUUAUUUUUCCUAUAGUUAGAUCUUCCCUUGAACACUUUUGUAUGCUGUAUUCUUUACUCGUGUUUUCUAACUUGGGCUUAAAACUUCCAUGUAGCUGGGGACUUCCUUUCCCGAGUUCUUGUCCACAAGAAAUUACAGGACAGGAAGAGAUAGAAUUCCUGCAAGAAGUAAGGCAAGGACAGGAGCUUCAGGUGAGCACAUCAGAACUCCUCCUAGAGAAAGAGAAUUAAGGUAUCUUUGGUGGUAUGAAUGCUUUAUUUGCCUCAAUUUGCAUCCUUUGAAUUCAUGUCGUACUGUUGUCAUGCUCUAUCAUGACAGUUGUUCAAGUGCCCAAUUUUUAGAGCAUGCACAAUAGCAAAAUCCUUUUAAAAUGAUAAUACCUGGUUGGAGUAUAUCUGGUUGUGUGUUAGAACUGUUAGACAUAGGAGGUUUUGUUUUAGGAAGUGUAAAAUAAUGUGCCUGCAGGCAGCUGUGCAGUUUUAGUGUGAGGAGGACUGUGCUGGAUGGUUUCAGAGGCGUAAAACAAUAAAAAAAGUGUGUUCAUUUUAAGCCUCAGUGCCUUCUGUAGUUUCAUUUCAAAGUAGGGAAUCUCUUACUUUAUGCAGUUUUUAUUCCUAGUGAGGGUUUAGUUAAGGGAUGGAACCACAGACAAGUCUGAGCACAGAUCAGUUGUUUGCUUUGCUUUUAUAUGCUUUGAUAUCAGCAGUGCAUGGUGAAUUGGCAGCACAGCAAGUCCUGUGAUAAGAGUGAAUGUCUGGGCCGUAGACUGUCCCUGUGCUCCACCUUGAAAUCUUCUGGGUAUCUCCUGCUCCCCUCUGAACAUAACAUGAGGGGUGUGUUCUUACAGGUAGUGAGAAAGCAUCUGAGCAAUUAUUCUUCUUGAGAGAUGCUGAUUUGAAGGGAAAGGAGCGGGGCAAACACCGCUCUGUGUUGGACACGUGGUGCAAGUGGCUGCUUGUGAGUACCACCUCUGCUUGUGUUGUGGAGGUCCCAGGACAGAUAAACCCAGGUUUAGCCAUGCACGUUUUUUAAUUACAUAACCCUUUGGGGGUGGCUUUGUGUACUCAUCUACUACCAGAUCAGAAAAUAGGAGUAGUCUUACUAAGCCUUUUGCCACAUGUUUGUUGAGGCUGUGGAAGCACACAGCAAGGGUUCUGUUGCAUUGUGUAGAAAGUGAGUUCUUCCUUGGAGAUCUGCUUAUUUUUACUUUUGAGUGUGUGUAGAUUUAACUGAAGAGCAUGUAUUCACACAGUUGUUCUAUUUAAGUUAAUGUGGGGUGACUCAGUGUGUAUUCACUGCUGUGAGCCCACAGUGACUGCAACAGAACAUUUUAUUGUCUGAAGACAAUGCUAAUAAUGGUAGCAUUAAAACAGCCUUGGAAUUUUACAAGACAAUAUUCUGUUCCCUGAACUGCCAAGGGACAAAGAGAUUUGCCAUUGUCAGACAGGGGAACAGGAGCCGGCCUGCAGUGCAAACAGUGCCCUCCACUUCUGCUGGGCUGGGCUGGGGUGUCCUGCCCCUCUCUGCUUCUGCUUCCUGGGACCUGCUCCAGAGUUUGUCACAGCAGCAAGCACCCUCUGCAAAGCAAGCACUGCAGCAGCUGGCUCUGCUGAGAGCUGUUGUAACACAGCCCUUCCCAGGGUGAUCCUACUCAAAGCUGCUUUCAUCCAACAGGUGAGCUCUCUUGGCCAGCUGAAAGGGCUGGAAAGGGCAGGCACUUCUUUGGCUGCCCCCCACCUAUCACUGCUCUGGCGCUUGAUCCCACCAGGUAUGCGGUUUGCUGAAGGAGAAUUUGGGAUAGGUGUAGUGCUUUGCAGUUAAUACAUUAUGACUGCUAUGGCAUUCCCAUAACUCACAAAACAGUGAUUCAGAAGUGAUGCAGUUUACAUUGGUCGUGCAUUUCUUUACCAUGAACUUUGAUGGAGGGAUUGUAGGAUGAAACCAAUGGGACUGUAGUGACAAGUGGAGGGCAGCUGUCUUUGUAGCUGAGGUGUAUGUUAUAAGUACUAAUGAAUUGUUCAUUAUGAAAUUAAUAAGUAUUACAUAUAUAUUAUUAAUGCUUAGCACCACCUUUUAUUGUGUAAAAACAAUAAUGGUUUUCUUAUCAAAAGAAUUGUUAAUAAUGCUUGGACCCUGAAACCAAAGAUGCAGAGGUGGGAGUUGUAUGUAUUUAUUCUUUCAUAGGAAAUAGUUAAAGUAAAACAUUUCUACCCUCAUAGGUACUGCUCUGCAGCAGGUUCCUGGUAUGCUGAUGUAAUAGAUUGGAUAAUGACAGCGUAGACAAUAAGAUGUGAAAAUGAACUGAAGAAGAGACUGUUGGCAGUGCAGAGACACUGGCUGGAAACCUCACCAACUGUAAACCACAUUUGUAGUACCAUGGCUUACAUCCAGGAUGGACAGCAUCUGCAGUGCAAAACCAUUUGGAGGCUCACUGGUGGUGAGCACAAAGUUUGAUCUCUGCAUUAGUAACUAGCAGAUUAGAUAGGUGUGAAUCCAGGCUCUGUCUUGCACUGAACAUCCUUGAGAUGAGAAUCCACUUAGCUUCUUUAAUGACUCCAGCAGCAUUUCCCGGGAGCCGUGUGACAAAGUACCAGAGGGUUGGGCUUUGAUUUCAGCAGCUUCAUUAUGGAGUUGUGCUUAUCUCCUAAAAUGGAUCCUUUCAAAAUUUUUGUUUGGUUUAUGUUUGGUGGGGAUAGUGAAGAAAAAGAGCUGAUUUAAGGAAAAUUGAAUGGGGGAAGAGUCACAUGUUUUGGAGUGUUGAGAUUCCAGGCAUCCUUACUGUGAAAAAUGGGAGUUUAAUUACCCAGAUUUUGUGUGGGUUUGCUGAGUUGUUUUAGUUUGUUUGUCCUCUGUAAGUCUCUACUAAUGCUAUUAUUUUCUUUCACUAAACAGAAAAAAUUAAUUCAGUGAUCUCUGUUGCUCAGUGUCUGCUGGGAAUACUGGUACUGAGUUGUAUCACUGCAAAUAUUGGUGUGUUCUUGCUUGUACUGUUGGCAGAAACACUGGGAAGAGUCAAACAGCCUCAAUAUUGCUUAUAUCUUCUAUUUUCUUUUGACAAAAUCAUUGCACGGUUCUGCCUCAACAUGGUCUUCUGUGAGCUGCAAGGAGCAGCAGUUAUUGAACUGGCUAAUUCAGUCCAUGUAAUAUGUACCAUAGAACUCUAUGGAGUACUUUCAGCAAUUUCCCUGCCUCAUAUACAUUUUGGGGCAUCAGAACAUCUCCUUUGAUUAGACGGUUUCUAAACAGCAACAUUUGUUAUACCUGUCACUUGAUUUUUGUUCCAAUAUAUCACGUGUCUCCAUGUGUCCCUGCAUAUCUGUAUCACCAAUACAGGGGAUUUGAGGCAUGUUUUCAGCAUGGCAUCCAGGCUUGCACAGAAUGGCACAGCCCAUCAGCCCUCUGUUUAGCCUCUGCUCACACUAACAUUAGCAGCUUUUUAUCUUUUUCACCCCCUUAGCACUAGCAGCUUUUUAUCCUUCUCACCCCCUUUCCUGAAAUGACUCCUUAAUGCUGUACACAAGAGUGCCUGUUAAGUCGAUGCCUUGCUGAAUAAAUUCCAGGUGCCUGCUGCUAAAAAGGAAGAGAUGAUGCUUUUCUUUCUCUACAUGGUUCUUGUUCUCAUCCUUAUGCUUUCUUGAUUUUUCUCAAGUCAUCCUGUUUUGUUUGCUGUUGGCAAAUAAAUCACCAAGAGAUGCAAAAAGCAAAAGAGUGGAGGGAAUGCCCGGUGCAUACUGAGAAGCAAAUAUUCCAGUCUUUCAAGCAUGGAGAAAUGAAAAGAGGUGGAUAUAGAUGGUGAUGAAUUUAAACAUGUACUUAUUUAUUACUCUGUCUUCCAUGUCUGGAUCAUCUGCUGCUGAGGAGUGGAUGAGACAAAGAAACACUUGAUUUUUGGCACCACUGAAAUGAGGUGGCAAGAUGAGAUCAGAGAAUCGUAUAGGUUGGAGGGGACUUACAGAGAUCACUUAGUCCAUCCUGCUGUCCAACCUGCAUCCCAUCUGAUCAGGUUGCUCAGGGCCAUGCUCAGGACACUUUUGAAUAUCUCCAAGGAUGAAAGUCCAGCAGACAUUGUGGACUUCUGUUGCAGUGUUUCACUUCCCUGAAAAUGAAAAGUUUUCUCUCCUGUGUAAGGUUGUAAUAUCCCAAGUUGCAGCUCUGAUGGUCCCCUUGUAGCUCUCUCUUUUCAUGAUUGAGCAAACAGAGUACCCUCACCCUCUCUUCCUACGCUCUAGCUCCUCAGCUGGCUCUGGCAGUGGGCAGCCUGUGCUGCUCCUGGCAGCAUGUCUACAGGAAAAACUCUUUUCUGUGCUGCAUCCCAUGAGUACCCUGAGACUGGUUUCUCUUUUCAUAUCAACUGACCUUAAUUUCUUUCCUUUUUCAACCUUUUUGCAUGGCAUCUCCGAAAUAGUAGCAUUUUCAAGCUAUAGCUUUCACCACAGUAUGAUGUCACAUCAAAAUCUGUGUAUGAUAGUAGAAAAGGAAAAAAGCAAUGUUAAUUCUUAGCUCAAAUGCUUUUGUCUCUCAUGAUGUUCAUUUUUACAACUAUAUCCAUUCAGCAAGACUUGAUCCUGACUUUUUUUUCUUAAAGAACUUAAAAUGUGUUGUCCAGUAUGAAAUUAAAUAUUCUGCAGUCAAAUGCAAACAUUCAACCCAAAAAGGCAGAUGCUACUCCAGGUCCAGUAUCUAUGUGCAAGUCACAUUCUGUUAGCAAAUUAAGUGGAAAAAUGGCUCUUAAAUAGUUUCAUCUGCUGCUUUCCUAUUUUUUUUAUAUUAGGUUGCCCCUGGUAUUUCAAGAGUUUCUAUCGAGGUACUGUAUACUCUCACAGCAAACCCAAACACAUUUUAGCUGAGCAAAGAACAUUUGGAGACUGGCUCGCUUUUAACCUCUGCUAAGGCCCUUGUCUUUCUCAGCAGCACUGAGUGUGGUGUUGAUAUCCAACAUUCUAGCUAUGGGAGAAAAAAGAACACUUCAAGAUAGAAUUUCUGAAUCUUAGUGAAUCAGGUGUAACAAAUACUGGCCUAAAAGAAGACAUCAGAUUGUAAAGAUCCUGAGAAGCAGGAUCAGGCAUGCUUAAACACCUAGGUUAACGAGCAAAGAGCUGUAGCACUUCAUGAAUUCUCAUGUAACUUUUUAAGAUAUCCACUAUCUCAGAGCUGAAAAUUCACACAUAGCUAUUCUGUAUAUAUAUUCUAAAAAUGUUAUGACCAUUAAAUAUUGUCUAAUAUAUUUAUAAAUUCAGAAUGGCUAAUUUAGACUUUGGACGAUUCCUUUUCUUCUUACAAGUAUAUUUGAGAGUUCCUCUAGAGUAAUCCACCAACUCAUCAAGGAACUAUUGAGUAUAAGUUAAAGCAAAUUGUAUGUCAAGAGAUUGACAACUUGAUUUUAUGUUAUUUCUCACUGACUGAAGAAAUUGGAUCUGUCUCUCCAUCCCUAAAAUAAAGUAAUCCAAACACAAUAUUGAAGCGCUCGUGAAGAGCUGUUGCUUGACACAAUGUGCAUCCCUUUACAAGGUGCAUGAAUAAAAUAUCAGACAGGUAGAGUUUGUGACCCAGUUAGAAGUUAUGUGCAUGAUCUCUUCUCCUUGGUUGAACUGAGGAAACAUCUAGAGUGGGUUGAACUGAGGAAACAUCUGAGUUUUUUGGUUUUGUUUCUUUUAGUGAAAGGGUCAUUUAUGAAUGUGUGCUCUUUUGAUUUGGGGCGGAGCUUAAACUAGCUAAACAUCCCAAAACUUAAUAUACACAGUGAAAUUUUAUUAGGUAACUGCAUGAAAAUCAAAGAGAUUCUUUUGUAGACAGGAUGCAUGAAUCCCCUUUUGGUACUUUCAGCACAUCUGCAGCUAAGUCCUGUUUUCAUCUCCUCCUCUUCAGCAAGAAGGGUUAAUAAUAGAUGUAUGAUCUGCUGCCAAGGGUGGUGAGCCAGGGAUGUGAGGAGGAAUGGACUAUAUUCCUUCCACUUCCAUGGUGCCUUCUUCAUGUAGCCAAAAUGCAAAGUCUAAUAUUUCAAAAGGCAGUCUUCAACUUUGUACAUUCCAAUUUGAUUUGCUAAAAUUGGUCUCCAUAGACACCAAGCACCUAUUUCAUGGUCACAGUUUGACUUUUGGAUGCUUAGUACCUCUUGAAAGUAUACACAGAAUUUCUGAAUUUAGGCUUAAUUAAGCAUUUCCAUAAAAGAUACAAGCCUAUCUUUUUCAGUACCUGAAUUCAUCUUUCUUUUCUUGGUAAAAAUUACCAAAUAAAGUAUAUCUGUUUAUAAAAACCUAUUUAUAUCUAUAAUGUGGACUAACUGUUGGAAAAGCUAGUAAGCUUCAAAUGUGCUCCAGUUACAUCUCUCCAAUUUAAGUUAUUUAUUUCAAAAAUAGUUUUUCUUUUUUGGUAGAUUAGGCAAUACUGAAUACAAUUAUUUUUUUUUUGAAAAAUCUGUCCAAUGUUAACUCUCAGAAUGAAAGACUACCUGCAAUAAUAUCAUAAUUAUGUGAGACUCAUAAAAAAAAUGCAACAAAACAAAGAAUCACAGAAUUAACUAGGUUGGAAAAGACCUUUGAGAUCAACACAAAAAAACACCAUGCAAGUGAAGAAAUAGAGGAUUCCAUUAAGGGAAACACCAGAUACACUUUCUGAGCAA